rnacentral:misc_RNA from 1 species
GGCUGAUAGCCGAAGGAGGUAUAGGAAAGGCUAAUGAAAGGGAUGCCCAGGGUCUGCUGUUGCUCAUCGGGUGUUUCGGGAUUCCACAAGGAUUUAUGGAUCGGGAUAUCAGAUUUUUGUUCAAGGCAGGUGGCGCCAUGGGGAUUUUUGGUGCCCUUAGGAGAUCAAGAGUUCUCAUGGAAAAGAUUCCACAAAUAAUACAGUGGAUGUUGAAUAACUCUUUAGUUGUUGGGGCCAUUGACAUUGCCUA